rnacentral:rRNA from 1 species
AUUGAACGCUGGCGGCAGGCCUAACACAUGCAAGUCGAACGGUAACAGGAAGAAGCUUGCUUCUUUGCUGACGAGUGGCGGACGGGUGAGUAAUGUCUGGGAAACUGCCUGAUGGAGGGGGAUAACUACUGGAAACGGUAGCUAAUACCGCAUAACGUCGCAAGACCAAAGAGGGGGACCUUCGGGCCUCUGGCCUUCGGAGUGUCCCAGAUGGGUUUAGUUAGUAGGUGGGGUAACGGCUCACCUAGGCGACGAUCCCUAGCUGGUCUGAGAGGAUGACCAGCCACACUGGAACUGAGACACGGUCCAGACUCCUACGGGAGGCAGCAGUGGGGAAUAUUGCACAAUGGGCGGAAGCCUGAUGCAGCCAUGCCGCGUGUAUGAAGAAGGCCUUCGGGUUGUAAAGUACUUUCAGCGGGGAGGAAGGGAGUAAAGUUAAUACCUUUGCUCAUUGACGUUACCCGCAGAAGAAGCACCGGCUAACUCCGUG